UAGUUAGUCGGCGCUUCCCGGAAGUGACGCGUGGACCCGCCUUCUCCCUCGGCGUUUCUGCUGUCAGGGCCCUGCGGUGUGACUCGCGGGCUCAGCUGGUCCGGCCGUAGCACCUCCGCGCCGUCGCCAUGUCGCGGUUUUUCACCACCGGUUCGGACAGCGAGUCCGAGUCGUCCCUGUCCGGGGAGGAGCUCGUCACCAAACCUGUCGGAGGCAACUAUGGCAAACAGCCAUUGUUGCUGAGCGAGGAUGAAGAAGAUACCAAGAGAGUUGUCCGCAGUGCCAAGGACAAGAGGUUUGAGGAGCUGACCAACCUUAUCCGGACCAUCCGUAAUGCCAUGAAGAUUCGUGAUGUCACCAAGUGCCUGGAAGAGUUUGAGCUCCUGGGAAAAGCAUAUGGGAAGGCCAAAAGCAUUGUGGACAAAGAAGGUGUCCCCCGGUUCUAUAUCCGCAUCCUGGCUGACCUAGAGGACUAUCUUAAUGAGCUUUGGGAAGAUAAGGAAGGGAAGAAGAAGAUGAACAAGAACAAUGCCAAGGCUCUGAGCACCUUGCGUCAGAAGAUCCGAAAAUACAACCGUGAUUUCGAGUCCCAUAUCACAAGCUACAAGCAGAACCCCGAGCAGUCUGCGGAUGAAGAUGCUGAGAAAAAUGAGGAGGAUUCAGAAGGCUCUUCAGAUGAGGAUGAGGAUGAGGACGGAGUCAGUGCUGCAACUUUCUUGAAGAAGAAAUCAGAAGCUCCUUCUGGGGAGAGUCGCAAGUUCCUCAAAAAGAUGGAUGAUGAAGAUGAGGACUCAGAAGAUUCCGAAGAUGAUGAAGACUGGGACACAGGUUCCACAUCUUCCGAUUCCGACUCAGAGGAGGAAGAAGGGAAACAAACCGCGCUGGCCUCAAGAUUUCUUAAAAAGGCACCCACCACAGAUGAGGACAAGAAGGCAGCCGAGAAGAAACGGGAGGACAAAGCUAAGAAGAAGCACGACAGGAAAUCCAAGCGCCUGGAUGAGGAGGAGGAGGACAAUGAAGGCGGGGAGUGGGAAAGGGUCCGGGGCGGAGUGCCGUUGGUUAAGGAGAAGCCAAAAAUGUUUGCCAAGGGAACUGAGAUCACCCAUGCUGUUGUUAUCAAGAAACUGAAUGAGAUCCUACAGGCACGAGGCAAGAAGGGAACUGAUCGUGCUGCCCAGAUUGAGCUGCUGCAACUGCUGGUUCAGAUUGCAGCGGAAAACAACCUGGGAGAGGGCGUCAUUGUCAAGAUCAAGUUCAAUAUCAUCGCCUCUCUCUAUGACUACAACCCCAACCUGGCAACCUACAUGAAGCCAGAGAUGUGGGGGAAGUGCCUGGACUGCAUCAAUGAGCUGAUGGAUAUCCUGUUUGCAAAUCCCAACAUUUUUGUUGGAGAGAAUAUUCUGGAAGAGAGUGAGAACCUGCACAACGCUGACCAGCCACUGCGUGUCCGUGGCUGCAUCCUAACUCUGGUGGAACGAAUGGAUGAAGAAUUUACCAAAAUAAUGCAAAAUACUGACCCUCACUCCCAAGAGUACGUGGAGCACUUGAAGGAUGAGGCCCAGGUGUGUGCCAUCAUUGAGCGUGUGCAGCGCUACCUGGAGGAGAAGGGCACUACCGAGGAGGUCUGCCGCAUCUACCUGCUGCGCAUCCUGCACACCUACUACAAGUUUGAUUACAAGGCCCAUCAGCGGCAGCUGACCCCGCCUGAGGGCUCCUCAAAGUCUGAGCAAGACCAGGCAGAAAAUGAGGGCGAGGACUCGGCUGUGUUGAUGGAGAGACUGUGCAAGUACAUCUACGCCAAGGACCGCACAGACCGGAUCCGCACAUGCGCCAUCCUCUGCCACAUCUACCACCAUGCUCUGCACUCCCGCUGGUACCAGGCCCGCGACCUCAUGCUCAUGAGCCACUUGCAGGACAACAUUCAGCAUGCAGACCCGCCAGUGCAGAUCCUUUACAACCGCACCAUGGUGCAGCUGGGCAUCUGUGCCUUCCGCCAAGGCCUGACCAAGGAUGCACACAACGCCCUGCUGGACAUCCAGUCGAGUGGCCGAGCCAAGGAGCUUCUGGGCCAGGGCCUGCUGCUGCGCAGCCUGCAGGAGCGCAACCAGGAGCAGGAGAAGGUGGAGCGGCGCCGUCAGGUCCCCUUCCACCUGCACAUCAACCUGGAGCUGCUGGAGUGUGUCUACCUGGUGUCUGCCAUGCUCCUGGAGAUCCCCUACAUGGCCGCCCAUGAGAGCGAUGCCCGCCGACGCAUGAUCAGCAAGCAGUUCCACCACCAGCUGCGCGUGGGCGAGCGACAGCCCCUGCUGGGUCCCCCUGAGUCCAUGCGGGAACAUGUGGUCGCUGCCUCCAAGGCCAUGAAGAUGGGUGACUGGAAGACCUGUCACAGUUUUAUCAUCAAUGAGAAGAUGAAUGGGAAAGUGUGGGACCUUUUCCCCGAGGCUGACAAAGUCCGCACCAUGCUGGUUAGGAAGAUCCAGGAAGAGUCACUGAGGACCUACCUCUUCACCUACAGCAGUGUCUAUGACUCCAUCAGCAUGGAGACACUGUCAGACAUGUUUGAGCUGGAUCUGCCCACUGUGCACUCCAUCAUCAGCAAAAUGAUCAUUAAUGAGGAGCUGAUGGCCUCCUUGGACCAGCCAACACAGACAGUGGUGAUGCACCGCACUGAGCCCACUGCCCAGCAGAACCUGGCUCUGCAGCUGGCCGAGAAGCUGGGCAGCCUGGUGGAGAACAACGAACGGGUGUUUGACCACAAGCAGGGCACCUAUGGGGGCUACUUCCGAGACCAGAAGGACGGCUACCGCAAAAAUGAGGGCUACAUGCGCCGCAGUGGCUACCGCCAGCAGCAGUCUCAGACAGCCUACUGAGCUCUCCACUCUGUUUCCCGCCUAGGCCAUCCAACCUUGAAGUCCUAAACCACAUCUCAGUCACUAAAGGUAUGAUCUCGUGAAACCUUGAGAGAAAGUGAAUGACGAAUGAAACUAUUGUUCCUGUUUCACACAGAAGAAAACUGAGGUUGGCACUGAUCAUGAGCCCCUGUUCUCAUUCUGCAAAUGGUGAAGCUCUCUAUUGUCCUGACCCCACAGUUCCUGUCCCAUGAGCAGGGCCAGCUCACCAAGGAGCUGCAGCAGCACGUAAAGUCAGUGACAUGCCCAUGCGAGUACCUGAGGAAGGUGAGUGAGUGCAGACAGAUGGGGCCUGGUGCCCUUGAGCAGUUCCCGGGUCUCAGCUGCCACACAUCUCAUAGCGGGUGAUGCUGGGGGAAGCUUACACAGUCACAGUACUGGCUUCUUCCUCUUUUUCUUUCCAUACAAGUGGCUUAGGGAUGGGGUAGAGUAGUUGACUUAUUUGGAUGAAAACCACUAUCUUCUGUCAGAAACUCAAAAGGAAUCAUUGCUGGCAUGGUAACCUAAAGAAAAACAACCAGACAAGUGCCCAACGACACUUAAAAAGGUUAUUUAUUAUCUUGCCAAGUUUAGGCUGGGCGUGGUGACUCAUGCCUGUAAUCCCAGCAUUUUGGGAGGCUGAGGCUGGUGGAUCACCUGAGGCCAGGACUUCAAGACCAGCCUGACCAAUAUGGCAAAACCUCGUCCCUACUAAAAAUACAAAAAUUAGCCGGGCAUGGUGGUGUGAGCCUGUAGUCCCAGCUACUCAGGAGGCUGAGACAGGAGAAUUGCUUAGAUUCAGGAGGUGGAGGUUUUAGUGGGCCGAGAUCACGCCAUUGCACUCCAGACUGUGCGAAAGAGCGAGACUCUGUCAAAAAAAAAAAAAAAAAUUAUCCUGCAAAAUUUGAAAAGGAAAUUCAAAUCAACAGCUUCUAAACUACUUUUUAACAUGACUCAUAAUAAGAAAUACAUUCUAUAGUACAUAUAUAUGUUCUAUAAUUUUGAAUAAGAGAAUUAACCACAUCACAUUUAUUUUACAACAUGUAAUACAUAUUUUUUAUUCUCCUUCAUUUGUUUUGAAUGCUCUGUGCAGUCUACAAAAAGUCCAAUAGUAAUAAUUAAAUUAGUCAUUAAGUUGAACAUUAUCUUGUCUUUUAAAAUGAUAAUCUCAAAAAUGAUCUUUUAUUUUUGAGAUUUAUAUAGAUACACACACACACACACACACACACACACAUAUAUAUAGAGAGAGAGAGAGAGACAGAGUUUCACUCUGUCACCCAGGCUGGAGUGCAGUGGCACAAUCUUGGCUCACUGCAACCUCCAUCUUCCGGGUUCAAGCAAUUCCUCUGCCUCAGCCUCUGAGUAGCUGGGACUACAGGUGUGCACCAUCAUGCCCAGCUAAUUUUUGUAUUCUUAGUAGAGAUGGGGUUUCACCAUAUUGGCCAGGCUCGUGUCAACUCCUGACCUCGUAAUCUGCCCACCGUGGCCUCCCAAAGUGCUGGGACUAUAGGUGUGAGCCACUGCACCCGGUCCAAGAUAAAAUUAUUUUAACAAUAUACUAUGAAGAGAAAAACACUGGCUAUGAAAGAAUAUGCAUAGUUUUACCCUGUUUAAAAAUAAAGAUUGAAAGAAUACAUAUGCAAAUAAGUUUACUUUUAUUUUUGGUAAUACUUUACUGGAUUGUCUGAAUAUUGACAAUCAGUAUGCAUCAUGAAGCUACAUGGCUAACAUUGAGUACUCACUGUGUGUGCCAGGCCCUGGGUUCAAUGCUCUACAUGCACUUAUAUUUCAUUUAAUUCUCUCUGCAACCUGAGAUGGUAUAGCCACCUCAUUUUACAGAGUUGAAACUGAGGCUCAGAGACUGAAAGUUAAGCCUGAGGUUACAGUCAAUAAGAGGCAGAGCUGGAACUGAAACCUACGUGUGUCUGACCACCAGUUCAUGUUCUGACGGCAGGCUAGUCUGCAUCACAGAGCGUGGGGUAGAUGGUGCAUGCCUGCUAGGAUGGGCUAGGUAUCACUGUAGGUAAGAAACAGCCCCAAACGAUGGAAAUGUACACCACUGAAGGCUCUUUUCCUGCCCAUGCUGCACAUCCUCCAUGGCUCUCCUGUGCCCUGUGCCCCACAUGCCCUCAUCCUGCCACGAGAAUAAAGGAGCAGCCUCCAUAUGGGAGCUGUCAGCUGCUCUAAGAGAUGAAGGAGAGGGUGGCCAGUCUCAAUGGCUCCCAACUCUUUUGCCUCGAGGUGACACGCUUCACUUCCACUCACAUCUCUUGGGUCAAAGCAAAUCCCAUGGGUACAUCCACUUUCAAGUGGCCCAGGAGAGAACCUGAAAUACUCGGUGGACUCCAUUAAGGCCGUCAUAUGGUGUCAG